rnacentral:rRNA from 1 species
CGCGGCCUAUCAGCUUGUUGGUGAGGUAAUGGCUCACCAAGGCAUCGACGGGUAGCUGGUCUGAGAGGAUGAUCAGCCACACUGGGACUGAGACACGGCCCAGACUCCUACGGGAGGCAGCAGUGGGGAAUAUUGCACAAUGGGCGAAAGCCUGAUGCAGCAACGCCGCGUGCGGGAAGAAGGCCCUAGGGUUGUAAACCGCUUUCAGCAGGGAAGAAAAUGACGGUACCUGCAGAAGAAGGUGCGGCCAACUACGUGCCAGCAGCCGCGGUGACACGUAGGCACCAAGCGUUGUCCGGAUUUAUUGGGCGUAAAGAGCUCGUAGGCGGUUUGGUAAGUCGGGUGUGAAAACUCUGGGCUCAACCCAGAGAGGCCACCCGAUACUGCUAUGACUAGAGUACGGUAGGGGAGCGGGGAAUUCAUGGUGUAGCGGUGAAAUGCGCAGAUAUCAUGAGGAACACCAGCGGCGAAGGCGCCGCUCUGGGCCGUAACUGACACUGAGGAGCGAAAGCGUGGGUAGCAAACAGGAUUAGAUACCCUGGUAGUCCACGCCGUAAACGUUGGGCACUAGGUGUGGGUCUCAACCAACGAGAUCCGCGCCGUCGCUAACGCAUUAAGUGCCCCGCCUGGGGAGUACGG